AUGACCCGGAUUUUUUAAAAAUAUUUUUAUUAGUAUUAAAAGUGAUUUUUCUUUAAAGAAGGGAAUAAGAUUUAAUAUUUUAUUCCAGUUUAAUGAGUUUUCAAGGUUUUAUAUUUAAACCCCGGGUUAUUGUGUUAUUGAUAAAUAAUUGUAUUUUCAAAACUGAUUUUCAUAUAUUGUUUUGAAAAUUCUGUAUGAAUAUUAUGUGAAUAUAUGUGUGUUAUGUGAUUAAGUGGUAUUGGUGGAUUUGUUGGUUAAUUAAAUAUGGUUAAUUAUGAGUAUUAUAUGAUUAAUAUAUGAAUUUUGUGAAUUUUGGGUUAUCUAGUUUAUUGAACUGAAUGAUCGUAUGUGUUCGUAUUCGCGAGAUUUCAAUUUCUAUAUGCUCAGGAGAAAAUAUAGUUUAUUUGGAUAUUUUCAUAUGGAUUUAUGGAAUGUUAGAUGAUUUUAUAAUCGAUUUAAGGAUUUAAUUGCGUAUAUUUAUAUUUAUUUAUUAAUUAUUUGACUUCCGUAAAACCGUCCACUCGUAACGAGGUAGCAAAUUUUCUUCCCGGAAGUUUCAACAAAACUCACCUUUAGCCUAAUUUGAAUAUUCCGGACACUUUUCGUGUUUUGACUUUUUCGAUCCGGAGUACGGUUUUCCCCGGAGUCGGUCCGGCGGAGUUUUUCGGGUAUUUUAAUUGUUGAUAAUUAUCCAGUUUGUCUCGAUAUACGUGAAAGCUAGAUAUUUUGAUUAUUAUACUCAUCCUUAUCUUGUAAUAAUUGCAGUGGGACCCGCAUACUAAUGACUGAUUAAAAAGCCCCGUUUUGAUGAUUAUCUUGAAAACCGGUAUUGAUUGGACCCCGCUUUAUUAUAUAAAGCUAGUAAAUAUCGUAUUUUCAUGUCAUAAACGAUCCAAAGGGGUACCAAUUAUUUGUAAAUAUAAAUAGACCUUUCUAGAGCUUAUUUUCACGGUAGAAAUCAUUUUCACCAGUUUCUUUGCACGAAUACCGAGAGAAACCGAGCGGUGUUCUUCGUGUUCUUCAUAAUCAAAUGAAGAUUUGAAGGUGUUAUUGGAGUCAGAAUCAAGCGUGCAAAUAGUCAAAUCGAAGAUAUCGAAGAGUAGAACCCAAAUCAAUCAUCAAAAACAACAUGAGAUUCACAGAAAGGAUUAAAGAUAAAUGGCUAGUCUAUGAUUGCGAGUAAAGCUAAGGCUAGGCGAGGAGUGUUCAGGAAAGUUGAUGAGGUUGGUGCAAGCUAGAGCUGUGCUAUAAGGAUUCAAGUGUAAGUCAUAGCUGGAAUAGUUGACAGUGAUUCUUCUUAUCGAAGAUGAUCUGUUUUGGUAAGAGAUGUUGUGUAAUAUUAGUGGUGGAUUCUAAUUUCAAUACUGUAACCUGGAUGCGAUCCUGUUGUUUUAGGGGGUUAAAAUGUUCUCAUUCAAAUCUUUUAUUUAAUGUUUUCAAGUUUUAAAUUCUUUUGGAUUUUCAUUAUCUUUAAAAAAAAAAAAAAGGUUUUCAAAGUGUUUUAAAAAGGUUUCGUGUGGUGACGUCAGAAUCCAGGCCCCCGGAUUCCUGGGCUGUCACAGUUGGUAUCAGAGCAACAGGUUACAAGUUAUUGGAAUUUGAAUAUAGAUUAUAGUUUUAAGUUUUAUAUAGGAUAGACGUUGUGUGACCUCAUAUCGAGGUAUUGUGAGACUAUGUGGACAUAGUCUAGAGAGGUGAGUGAAGCGUAGAGUCUAGUUAGAUGAUCAAGUUAAGUGCGGAUAUUUAAAGAGAUUGGGAUUCUUAAGUUUAGACAUAUGAUUCCUAGUAUAUUGACUAAUCGAGAUGGUAUUAUAGUGAGAAGUGUCAAGAUUAGACCUAGAUAGAAGAGUUUGAUAGUGAAUGAUUGAAUUGAGAAUGGUGGAAAUGCAGAGUUCAGAGUAUUCUGACUAUACUGCAUAUUUGAAAUUGGAUUAUUGUAUUGAUUUGAGGAUGAUAUAAAUGCAUGGUUCAUAGUAUGGUGACCAUGUCAAAUAUUUGGAAGAUGUAUAUUGUUUUGAGUGAAGAUAUGAAGAGUAAGUGUAGAGUAUGAGUUGUGUUGGAUUAGAAGAAGAGAUUUGUAGAUAGAGGUUGAUAGAUGAGAAGUGCAUGAUAGAGAGUAAGUGAAGUUGAGUCAGGUUAUUAGAAGCGAUAUUUGCGAGUAAGUUAGAAUGUUAAUUCUCGACGACUACGCUUUAAGUUAAGCGGGACAAGGUGGGCCCAUAACCCACAGCUUGACGAGUCAGAAAAUAGAAGAUACGCUACGUGUUUGUGCUAUGGAUUUCAAAGGCAACUGGGAUAAAGUUGAAGAAUGUAAACUACAUGGGCCAGAGUUAUUACGGACGAUAACGUCUACGAUGACAUCUUACGAGGCUAAUACGAGUCAAAUCGAUUGAUUAUCGAGAACGUUGAAAGGAUGACAUAAAUCGAAUAACGAUUUCGUAAAGUAGAGUGGGAAUUUGAGAAGACCUUGGCAAUACCUCUCUUCAACUAAAGAUUCUUUUGAUUAUGUUCUUCAUCAGUGAGUUAUUAUGAUAUCAUUUCGAUAAAUGAGAUUUUCAAUUUCUCAAAUUCUAAGAUGACAUUGAUAUUGAUUAGUGGUGUGAGUUGGUAUUGAAUCGGUGUAUGAUAAAAGCGUGUUUAUGAAGAGACAGUGGAAUUCCAUGAUAUUAAUUGAUAUUCUUUGGUAUUUCUUGAUAUUCUUCCAUAUUCUUUGAUAUCCCUUAAUAUUCGUUGAUAUUCUUUGACACUCUUUGAUAUUCUUUGAUAUCUUUUCGAUAUUCCUUAAUAUAUUCCUCGAUAAUCCUUAACAUUCCUUGAUGCUCAUUGAGAUUUCUUGGAUUCUUUCCAUCUGAUUGGGAUGAACAACCCUAUGUAUAGGGUACACAAGGUAUACCUGUCUGUGUGAUAGGAGUUGGAUGGGACGCCAUCACUUGUGUGUGUUGUGAUUACAAGAAGGUUAACAACCUUUAGUAGUGUCUAAUAUGGACACGCAACAUUAAGUUCAUUUGAUCGUAUUGAUCUCCCAGUCACUCUUGUAUUCCAAUGUGACCUAUUUUGAAAACAUCUUGUUCUAUUCGAAAAUUCCCAAAGAUCGCUUCUUGGGAAAUGAAUUUUGCAAUCGCGAAAGUUUGAUUUUCCUUUUCCAUUAAAGUUAAAGGUAUGCCAAGAUCAAUCAAAGGUGGAUGACGAUAUGAUAUUAUGAAGUGUGUACGUUUUAGUUUCUUCGGGGGAUUCCGAGGACGGAAUCCUUAUAAGGGGGGUAGAAUGUAAUAUCCCAUAUUAUUAAAUUCAGAUUUGAUUAUUAUAAAUCUAUUUGUCUAAAUAUUAUUGUUGGCUUUAGUUGAAAAGUGAAUUGAUUAUGUGAAUAGCUUUAUAUGAUUACACCUGUUUUGUGGAUUAAUAUGGAUUUUACAAAUAUUGCAUCCUCCUUCUUUCUCUGAUUCCGAGGACGGAAUCCCUAUAAGGAGGGUAGAUUGUAAUGACCCGGAUUUUUUAAAAAUAUUUUUAUUAGUAUUAAAAGUGAUUUUUCUUUAAAGAAGGGAAUAAGAUUUAAUAUUUUAUUCCAGUUUAAUGAGUUUUCAAGGUUUUAUAUUUAAACCCCGGGUUAUUGUGUUAUUGAUAAAUAAUUGUAUUUUCAAAACUGAUUUUCAUAUAUUGUUUUGAAAAUUCUGUAUGAAUAUUAUGUGAAUAUAUGUGUGUUAUGUGAUUAAGUGGUAUUGGUGGAUUUGUUGGUUAAUUAAAUAUGGUUAAUUAUGAGUAUUAUAUGAUUAAUAUAUGAAUUUUGUGAAUUUUGGGUUAUCUAGUUUAUUGAACUGAAUGAUCGUAUGUGUUCGUAUUCGCGAGAUUUCAAUUUCUAUAUGCUCAGGAGAAAAUAUAGUUUAUUUGGAUAUUUUCAUAUGGAUUUAUGGAAUGUUAGAUGAUUUUAUAAUCGAUUUAAGGAUUUAAUUGCGUAUAUUUAUAUUUAUUUAUUAAUUAUUUGACUUCCGUAAAACCGUCCACUCGUAACGAGGUAGCAAAUUUUCUUCCCGGAAGUUUCAACAAAACUCACCUUUAGCCUAAUUUGAAUAUUCCGGACACUUUUCGUGUUUUGACUUUUUCGAUCCGGAGUACGGUUUUCCCCGGAGUCGGUCCGGCGGAGUUUUUCGGGUAUUUUAAUUGUUGAUAAUUAUCCAGUUUGUCUCGAUAUACGUGAAAGCUAGAUAUUUUGAUUAUUAUACUCAUCCUUAUCUUGUAAUAAUUGCAGUGGGACCCGCAUACUAAUGACUGAUUAAAAAGCCCCGUUUUGAUGAUUAUCUUGAAAACCGGUAUUGAUUGGACCCCGCUUUAUUAUAUAAAGCUAGUAAAUAUCGUAUUUUCAUGUCAUAAACGAUCCAAAGGGGUACCAAUUAUUUGUAAAUAUAAAUAGACCUUUCUAGAGCUUAUUUUCACGGUAGAAAUCAUUUUCACCAGUUUCUUUGCACGAAUACCGAGAGAAACCGAGCGGUGUUCUUCGUGUUCUUCAUAAUCAAAUGAAGAUUUGAAGGUGUUAUUGGAGUCAGAAUCAAGCGUGCAAAUAGUCAAAUCGAAGAUAUCGAAGAGUAGAACCCAAAUCAAUCAUCAAAAACAACAUGAGAUUCACAGAAAGGAUUAAAGAUAAAUGGCUAGUCUAUGAUUGCGAGUAAAGCUAAGGCUAGGCGAGGAGUGUUCAGGAAAGUUGAUGAGGUUGGUGCAAGCUAGAGCUGUGCUAUAAGGAUUCAAGUGUAAGUCAUAGCUGGAAUAGUUGACAGUGAUUCUUCUUAUCGAAGAUGAUCUGUUUUGGUAAGAGAUGUUGUGUAAUAUUAGUGGUGGAUUCUAAUUUCAAUACUGUAACCUGGAUGCGAUCCUGUUGUUUUAGGGGGUUAAAAUGUUCUCAUUCAAAUCUUUUAUUUAAUGUUUUCAAGUUUUAAAUUCUUUUGGAUUUUCAUUAUCUUUAAAAAAAAAAAAAGGUUUUCAAAGUGUUUUAAAAAGGUUUCGUGUGGUGACGUCAGAAUCCAGGCCCCCGGAUUCCUGGGCUGUCACAUCUAUUUCUAAGAUUUAACGGCUGUUUAAACGUUUGCUUCACAGAAUGUUGUUUUUAACAGGUUGUCAAAUACAGGAUGGUACCACUUUUACAUUAAUCAUCUUCUUAAAAGAUGUACAAAACUUUCAAUGGAUCCACCUUUCAGCAAAACACCGAGCAGGCCGCCCCAGUGCACGCCCAAGGGCAAAACACUUAGGAGAGACUUCACUUGACCUGAUAGUUUCUUUGUUCAGUACUUCUAUUCUCUCUCAUGAGAAUUUGAGAUUUGUUACUUUUUUCCUUAUGAGAAUUUCAUCGCAAAUUUUUACCAUGUAGUGAUAACUGAUAACUUCAUUUACCUUGUAUAAGAUAGGAGCAUCCAAGGAACUGCCUCAAAUUUUUGGUGAAGUUAGUCAUGAGGAUGAGCGGUGGAAUUUUGAUAUGAUCAGCAACAGUUGCUGCAAAGUAAAUUUGAGAACGACAUAUAUAAUUCCAACCACCUGACUUUCCGCUGUCUGUUUCAUGAGUUCCAAGAAUUCCUGCAGUGGUGCAUAGCAGUUGCGAUUGAUACUUUCUGCAUCGUAAAUACUAGGAGUAUUUGAUGUAUCAACAUAGGUAGCUUAUCUGCCAAGACUUGCAUCGUAAAUACUAGGAGUAUUUGAUGUAUCAACAUAAGGUAGCUUAUCUGCCAAGACCAGAAGAUCAAAAUGAGGAUAGUUAGAGGGGUUUAGAGGGUUGGAUUGUGUGUGCGCUAUUGUAAUAGCAAAGCCCUCGAAGUGAAGGACAUUUUCAAGCUGAACCAUUGAUUAUGGCCUUGUAUCGAUAAUAUUACCAGAACCAAAUGCCCAAUCCUUUGAUAAUCAUUUCAUAAUGGUAAUUCAUGUUAAUUAUAAGCAGUCUUAACACGCGUUUUGAUAAAAAUUUAGAAUAGGUUAAAAUUAAAUUUGAAAAUCUAAAUUAUUUUUACCCGACACUACUUUUAACAAGGUAAGAGCAAGUCCAAGAGUGCCCUAGUUGAACCCUUAAAUAUA